CACAUAGUUUUAAAAUUUGAAAUCAUGGUAGAUGUCCGACGAAAACUUUUCAACACUGCAGGCAACUUAUGUCCUUCGAUGGAACACCAUGACACGAGAGUUGCUUUUCUAUAGCACUAAAGUUGUCUCAAUAUCACCCAAAGUUUUCAAAAAAGUUUGCUGAAACAUAUCCAUGUGGGAUCUAGUUUUGAAGAGCUCACCGGAAGAAGCCUAACAGUAAAAAUGGAUCUUGUUGUGACACUCUGUUUAAAAAUUAUAGUGUUUUGAAAAAAAUGAUACGGAAUAAAGUGGAAUGACAUCACCACAUGCACGGAGUUAACCCUUGCCAUGUAGGCUGCCUCCUUCCACACUAGUUACCAUGUCGUCCCCAUAGUCACAUGUACAUAUUGAACGGCUGCACGGUGAUGGGCUCGUUUUAACAAAAUAAUGCAACUCCAUUAUUAAGUAUUUGAGAUAUAUUAAUUCCUACUAGUAUAAGUGUUUUUUAGGAAGGAAAAGAGAAGUUGAACUCUCCAUAAUAUAAGGAGAGUUGGUCUGUACCAGAGUCCUUAAGCAACCAAUAAUGUUUAGUCUUUCCCCCCAAGCUAUUCUUCUCCUCCUCUGUUACCUCUCACCACCGGCAAGACGCCCGGAGGACCUUCAUCAACCCUCACGCACCUCCAGACCAUGGCUACGACCUCCGAUCCCAGGACUCUAACAAUGUUCCUCUAGAAUAUGUGUUGUUUGUGCUGACUAUUUGUCGGGCCAAAAGCAAAAGGUGGCGUGAACUUCUUUAGAAUCCAUUCCCUUGCAAGCAUCAGCUCACUCAGGCAACUCCUGGAGUCCUGGUUUGGGAUGUUCAAAGGUAAUGAGAUGCCCAUUGCUGUCUCUGGUGGUAAAACCGUGUGGACUUCAUGUUUGUAUCCCAUGAGUAGUCGCUAAAACUCCUCUUCUUAAAUUCAAUGAAGCACUUCAGCUAUUGCUUUUCAUAAAAAAAAGACCUCACUGUGUGGGUUUCAAGUAGUACAAUUUUUGAUAUUUGCAUUCACUAGAAUGCAUAAUGGCACCUCAUCAAAUCUUCUAUCUCUUGAUAAUAAACGCUCAUUUCAAUAUAUUUUUUGAAAAAAGGAGGAUCAACCCAGGUCUUCAUAUCGACCAACCCAUGCAAUCAUUUAUGAAUGUAUUCAUCAUACGAUUGCAACGCAGAAC
rnacentral:lncRNA from 1 species